rnacentral:rRNA from 1 species
UUAAGCGACUAAGCGUACACGGUGGAUGCCCUGGCAGUCAGAGGCGAUGAAGGACGUGCUAAUCUGCGAUAAGCGUCGGUAAGGUGAUAUGAACCGUUAUAACCGGCGAUUUCCGAAUGGGGAAACCCAGUGUGUUUCGACACACUAUCAUUAACUGAAUCCAUAGGUUAAUGAGGCGAACCGGGGGAACUGAAACAUCUAAGUACCCCGAGGAAAAGAAAUCAACCGAGAUUCCCCCAGUAGCGGCGAGCGAACGGGGAGGAGCCCAGAGCCUGAAUCAGUGUGUGUGUUAGUGGAAGCGUCUGGAAAGGCGCGCGAUACAGGGUGACAGCCCCGUACACAAAAAUGCACAUGCUGUGAGCUCGAUGAGUAGGGCGGGACACGUGGUAUCCUGUCUGAAUAUGGGGGGACCAUCCUCCAAGGCUAAAUACUCCUGACUGACCGAUAGUGAACCAGUACCGUGAGGGAAAGGCGAAAAGAACCCCGGCGAGGGGAGUGAAAAAGAACCUGAAACCGUGUACGUACAAGCAGUGGGAGCAUGCUUAGGCGUGUGACUGCGUACCUUUUGUAUAAUGGGUCAGCGACUUAUAUUCUGUAGCAAGGUUAACCGAAUAGGGGAGCCGAAGGGAAACCGAGUCUUAACUGGGCGUUAAGUUGCAGGGUAUAGACCCGAAACCCGGUGAUCUAGCCAUGGGCAGGUUGAAGGUUGGGUAACACUAACUGGAGGACCGAACCGACUAAUGUUGAAAAAUUAGCGGAUGACUUGUGGCUGGGGGUGAAAGGCCAAUCAAACCGGGAGAUAGCUGGUUCUCCCCGAAAGCUAUUUAGGUAGCGCCUCGUGAACUCAUCUCCGGGGGUAGAGCACUGUUUCGGCAAGGGGGUCAUCCCGACUUACCAACCCGAUGCAAACUGCGAAUACCGGAGAAUGUUAUCACGGGAGACACACGGCGGGUGCUAACGUCCGUCGUGAAGAGGGAAACAACCCAGACCGCCAGCUAAGGUCCCAAAGUCAUGGUUAAGUGGGAAACGAUGUGGGAAGGCCCAGACAGCCAGGAUGUUGGCUUAGAAGCAGCCAUCAUUUAAAGAAAGCGUAAUAGCUCACUGGUCGAGUCGGCCUGCGCGGAAGAUGUAACGGGGCUAAACCAUGCACCGAAGCUGCGGCAGCGACGCUUAUGCGUUGUUGGGUAGGGGAGCGUUCUGUAAGCCUGUGAAGGUGUACUGUGAGGUAUGCUGGAGGUAUCAGAAGUGCGAAUGCUGACAUAAGUAACGAUAAAGCGGGUGAAAAGCCCGCUCGCCGGAAGACCAAGGGUUCCUGUCCAACGUUAAUCGGGGCAGGGUGAGUCGACCCCUAAGGCGAGGCCGAAAGGCGUAGUCGAUGGGAAACAGGUUAAUAUUCCUGUACUUGGUGUUACUGCGAAGGGGGGACGGAGAAGGCUAUGUUGGCCGGGCGACGGUUGUCCCGGUUUAAGCGUGUAGGCUGGUUUUCCAGGCAAAUCCGGAAAAUCAAGGCUGAGGCGUGAUGACGAGGCACUACGGUGCUGAAGCAACAAAUGCCCUGCUUCCAGGAAAAGCCUCUAAGCAUCAGGUAACAUCAAAUCGUACCCCAAACCGACACAGGUGGUCAGGUAGAGAAUACCAAGGCGCUUGAGAGAACUCGGGUGAAGGAACUAGGCAAAAUGGUGCCGUAACUUCGGGAGAAGGCACGCUGAUAUGUAGGUGAGGUCCCUCGCGGAUGGAGCUGAAAUCAGUCGAAGAUACCAGCUGGCUGCAACUGUUUAUUAAAAACACAGCACUGUGCAAACACGAAAGUGGACGUAUACGGUGUGACGCCUGCCCGGUGCCGGAAGGUUAAUUGAUGGGGUUAGCGCAAGCGAAGCUCUUGAUCGAAGCCCCGGUAAACGGCGGCCGUAACUAUAACGGUCCUAAGGUAGCGAAAUUCCUUGUCGGGUAAGUUCCGACCUGCACGAAUGGCGUAAUGAUGGCCAGGCUGUCUCCACCCGAGACUCAGUGAAAUUGAACUCGCUGUGAAGAUGCAGUGUACCCGCGGCAAGACGGAAAGACCCCGUGAACCUUUACUAUAGCUUGACACUGAACAUUGAGCCUUGAUGUGUAGGAUAGGUGGGAGGCUUAGAAGUGUGGACGCCAGUCUGCAUGGAGCCGACCUUGAAAUACCACCCUUUAAUGUUUGAUGUUCUAACGUUGACCCGUAAUCCGGGUUGCGGACAGUGUCUGGUGGGUAGUUUGACUGGGGCGGUCUCCUCCUAAAGAGUAACGGAGGAGCACGAAGGUUGGCUAAUCCUGGUCGGACAUCAGGAGGUUAGUGCAAUGGCAUAAGCCAGCUUGACUGCGAG